rnacentral:rRNA from 1 species
AGGGACUACGGGGCGCAGCAGUAGGGAAUAUUGCUCAAUGGGGGAAACCCUGAAGCAGCAACGCCGCGUGGAGGAUGAAGGUUUUCGGAUUGUAAACUCCUUUUCUUAGAGAAGAUAAUGACGGUAUCUAACGAAUAAGCACCGGCUAACUCCGUGCCAGCAGCCGCGGUAAUACGGAGGGUGCAAGCGUUAUUCGGAAUCACUGGGCGUAAAGAGCGCGUAGGCGGGAUAGCAAGUCAGAUGUGAAAUCCUAUGGCUUAACCAUAGAAAUGCCUUUGAAACUGUUAUUCUAGAGUAUGGGAGAG